UACGGAGGGGGCUAGCGUUGUUCGGAAUUACUGGGCGUAAAGCGCGCGUAGGCGGCUUUGUAAGUUAGAGGUGAAAGCCCGGAGCUCAACUCCGGAAUUGCCUUUAAGACUGCAUCGCUAGAAUCAUGGAGAGGUUAGUGGAAUUCCGAGUGUAGAGGUGAAAUUCGUAGAUAUUAGGAAGAACACCAGUGGCGAAGGCGGCUCACUGGCCCGGUACUGACGCUGAGGCGCGAAAGCGUGGGGAGCAAACAGG
rnacentral:rRNA from 1 species